GCUAUGCGCCUCCAGAGGAGAUCGCGGCCGCUGAGGAAGCGCAGGCGGCGGCAGACCUGGGCCAGGCGGCCCAAGGCCUGCGCGUCCAGGAGCCUGGAGUACUGACAACGCAGAAGGAUUCUGGUCCAAAAUGGCAUAGUCCUCUGCAGACAGUGGAGCAGGAAAAUAUGAGUCUAGUGUUGUGUUAUUCUUUCUUAUAGUACUUUCCAUUCCACAGAAGCCUGAAAUGCUGAGGAAAUUUCUCCCUCAAAAUUAAAAAAUAGAUAAAUUAUAAGAAGUUCAUCAUCUGCCUAGAAUGCUUUGAACAGGUGUCACUUAGCCACCACAGUCUACAUCUCCUUUUGCAGGGUGGAGUAAGAUAAUAAAUUUCAGCAUAUAAUGAGGUUACCAUAGCAUACAGACCUUGAGACAGUACUUGCAUCAUGUUCCAGAAGGUCAUCUUGUCUGUGUAAUCUCAAGCACUCAAAUAUUCGUACAACUGAAUCACCAACUCGAAGCCUCAUAUUUAAGAGUUUCAAAACUGGUCCAUUUCCACUGAGUUUUAAUACACCCUGGAAGUCAGGGAAGUUCCAAAAGGCAGCAAAUUUUUUAUCAGCAUUUAUAAGAAGUGAUGUCCAAAGUAAUUAAAAAUUUCUUAAGCUGAGUUUGAGAAAUUUUCACUCAGGUGAAAUAACAGCACAUCUGAUAGAGGACUUGAGUAGCCAACUGAAAGGGGGGGUAAUACAACAGAUUUAGCUUAACAUAAGAUUAUGGAACUUUGUGUGAAUACAGUUUUAUAUUGACUUUGUUUAUAUGAAACAGUUCUUUUUGUAAUAGACUUCAGCAAUGUCUGAAGCAUUAAAUGUAUUAAAAGCUGAGUGGCUUCUCCAUCUUAAAUUGUUAUUGUAAAGAUAUACUUAUUAUCAAGUUGGUCUUUUUCCAGUAGCAUCACACAGAGACAGCUUCUCCACCCUCCACUAUUUAAUAUUUUUAUUAGCAACUUGAAAAAAAUCUGAAAUCAUUCAUAGCAAAACUUUCUAGGAGGCACAAAGCAUGGGGCAAGAGGCAAAGGGUGGCUUAUGGCUGCAUAACCCUAUGCUAAGUUUAGGCAUAAUCACAUCAUAUGUAUUUCAAUCGAGCCAAAUGUAAAGUCUCACAUCUAGGAACAAAGAAUGUAGGUCACACUGAAAGGAUGUAACUCUAUCCUGCAAAGCUGCAAUUCCGUAAAGACUUCAUUAAGAUGAAUAAUCAGCUGAACGUGAGCUCCUUCUGCAGUGCUGUGACCAAAGAGCUAGUGCUGUCCUGGGAAAAAAAAACAAGAGCUGGUGGUGCUUUUACCUCUGAUUUUGACUCUGUCGUGACUGCUUUGGAAAUAAUUUGUCCAGACAACAUUUCAAGAAGGAUGUUUAAAAACUAGAUGGAUUUCAAAGAAGAUUGAAUGUAAAAAUGAUUACAGGACUGUCAGACGUUUUAUAGUAAGACCCAAAGUGCUCAGUCUAUUUAGCUUUCUAAAGAGAAGGUUAAGGUGUGAGGUGAUCAUACCUUAUGAGCACUGAAACAGGAAGAAAAAUCUGGCAAUAUACGGAUCUUGUGUUUAACAGACAAAGAGAGAAGAUCUCUUGACAGAAGGUGAUGGGAAACAAAGUCGUAAGUAAAGCAUCCUUUUGUAGGGAAUAAAAUUAACUAUUGAAACAGCUUACCAAGAUUUAUGGUAGCUUCACCAUCACUGGAUUUUUAUAAAACAAUGCUAGUUGGUUUUGGUUUUGGUUUGAGGUUCUUUUUCCUUAGAGACUGGCUAGAGCGCAACUACUAGAACUUAACCAGGAACUGACCUGGUGAGUCCUAACUCAGGAUAUCAGACUGAGACAGUCCAAGGGGUCCCUUCUGGUAUUAGGCUCUGUUACUCUACAGAGGCAGCUUCUGCGUAGUGCAGUCUCCCUGCACUGUGUGGCAUCCAAACUCCUGUGUACACAGUCUGUGGCCGUGCCCCUUUACAAAGGAAAACUACUUGGUGCAGACCAGAAGGAGCCUGGGUGCAAAGUAACACAUGCAGUGUGACCCUCUGGGAUACCAGGACCAAGUAUGGACAAGGGUAUCUGAAGAAGGGGGGCCUUGGUGCUCUCCAGUUUGUGACCCAGGGUAUAAACACCUAUGAAAUAUUUGGCUAAAAUGAAACGUGUUUGCACACAGUAAUAGUGCAGAGGGUCAACUAUGCUCCAAAGAGGAUACACAUACAUACAAUAUGAAGAAUGAAAUUAUGAUACGUUUCUCUUAAAUGUAGCAUUGUUUUCUAGUAUGGAUAAUUGCCUUACAACAUAGUAACAAUAGUUAUUCUUUGCCCAAAACAUAGAUAUCAUACAUUCCUUGGGGUUUUGUUUUAAGAGAAAUGGACCUGCAACAUUUGUUCUCAGGCGUGGUUUCAGCUACUGUGCCUGCUGUGGAGCUGUCAAAGCUCUGCAUCAUGGGCUAAGAACCCAAAGGCACUGAUCUUCCCAACAAUGCAAAAGUUAGUGCUUAUAUAGUCUGCAGGAGCAAGAACCAAGGAAGGUUCUGAACCAUUACUAAAACUGUUUUUGUAGUGCAGUGUAAUCAUAAUAAUGCAUCCUUUCCAAAUCCUGCAGUCAAAGAUCCCAGUCCUUUUGUGGCUCAUGACCACUCUGAACCUCUAGAAAAGGUAUAGGAUUCUGUGCUCAAGUAGCAGACCAUUCCAACAUCAUGACUUGCAGAGUUUGUAAACUAAAAAUCAGAGGGCUUAUAUCUGUAAAGCUUUAACAGCACAAGUCAAUGAAACUCAGCUUGGAAGAAACACCAUUUGAAUACCUGCCUGUCAAUUUUAUUUUUUUUCUGUCUUCAAGGGGUUUUAUUAUUUGCAGUGCCCUCAAAUACACCUUUCCAGCUAAAGACACAUUCAUGUGGACAGCUCUUUGUUUUGUUUUUCCUUCCAACCAAUGCUUUUGUGUAUUUCUGAAACUUAAGACACCUCCUCUGCUACUACAGUACUUAUCUGUAACACCAUCGCUUUGAGGGAUUAAAGCAGGUUACUUGUUACACACUUAGAUCAAGAGUUAUCUGAGUAGAAAGUCUAUCCCGUUAGGGUUGGCGGAAUCUGGUUUUGAUCUUGAGUUGUUUUGAUUUUCUGUGAGAGCAAGUAACAUGUUAUUUUAACUUCUGAAUAAGGUGUGCUACCUGACUGUGUCUCUUCUGUUUGGCAGAAAGGAUUAGAAACCUCCACGGAACUUGCACUCUAUUAAAGCAGAGUGCUCACCAUUGAGAACCAAGGGGCUGAAUUGUUUUCAGAUUAUAUGUGUGUGUGUGUCUUUCCCACAUCAAAGACUUUGAUGGAAGCUGUUCACGCUAUUGUCAGGAAUGCAGGGAUUGGCACAAAGGUGAUUAGUAAAAUUGCUUUUCUGCAGGAGAAGCACAAAAAUUACCAAAGGAUUAAAGAGGAUGAAAUUAAAAGGUUAUGCUGAAUUUGGGGGUAAAUUUUCUCCUUUUAAAUUUUCUCCCAAAUUACACAUAUUGAUUUGGUUUUACCUAUGAAAGGUCUGCCAGAAGAAACCAGGAUUAGAAGCUGUUUGGUAUUGGUUCUGUUAAAGGGAGAUAAAAAAUCUUCCCUUAAAAAUAUUCUCAACAGAUCCUAUUCCAAACCCCAUCCACAAGGAGCUUUAAUGAGUACUAGGGGCAGCCAGCUACUAGCCAUCCAUACGAGGUUCUCAGCAGCCACAGGAUUGGGACCUUUAGUCGUGAUUGUGCUGAAAAUCAGAAAACCAAGCAAUUCCAUAAAUCACUUUGUCAUCGGUGAUGCUGUUUGUUUACUUUUCUCACUACACUCUUCUGACAAAGAUACUAAACUGAGGAGAUCGCUUUCAUUAUCCACUUGCUAGGCACAUGCAAUGCUUUUGUAUUUUGAUCAGCAGCUGAGCUGCUUGAAUGGUUUGGAAAAAAAGGCAAUAAAAAGGGAUUCUCAAAUAUUUCAGUGUAUCAAAAUGAACAGCCAAGCCUUCCAGAAGCUUUCUUGCUUGGCAGAACUGCAGUGCAAUUAAAAAAGCGUAUCACCUCCCAUAGCCAGCAGAAUUGUCUCAUGUUGCUGGUUUAGACUCUCUUUAUUUUGCAUUUUGUUUUGAACAAUCUUCUAUUAUUUGCUAAGUACAAGCCAUAUACCUAUUUCUUGUUUUCACAUUUUGAGUUUUGUUUGUUUGUUUUACUAAUCUGUUCUUCCCUGGAAGUCACACGGAAUAUUUUGCUUUAAACCUCAUUUAUCAAAGUAUUAUCUAAAGCAUCUGUUCAGAAAAUGUUCAUUUUAACUGUUUUCCCAACAAUGACCUUCUUCCUCCCCCCCAGGCCACAUCAAGUUGUCACUCACCAGACAGCUGUGGAAUUUGGAAUCAUUCCUUUUAAACGCUUUACAAUUCCAAAUGGUAGAUUUCUAAUGGCACAAUAUGAUUGCCACAAAGAUCUUUAAAUUUCCCAAUCCUCCAGGCUUCAAAGGCUGGACCGUCCUUGAUCUCCUGAAGGAAUGCUUUUGAAUCUUGUUCUUUUAUAGGGGCUACCUAUGAAGAUAUUUUAGGGGCUUUUUCCUUUCGUACUGAGGAAAUAAAGGUUCAAAUACCCACUGGCUUCUUUGGGAGUAAGACUGAGACUUAGAAAGUUAUUUCUAGGGAUACUCAGCUCAGUUUCCAUUAAUUUCACAAGCAGUUCCAAAACUUUCUGGUGUGUUUAUAAAGCAAUAUAAGUAUCCUUGGUGUAGUAGUGAUUAUACUACUCUUUCAUCCUGCGUCUUCCUUCCAUCCACAUGGCUACUUCAUGCAGCUCCUCACCUGUCUGACAGUGCCCUGACCCAUCCCGUGCCCUUGGGUACAGAGGGGUCCCUUGCUCUUGGAGGAUUCUCCGUUGUUGUAUCACUUACAAGGUAAUAAUUUGUUCAAGGAAAAUGAGCAAACCUAAUCCUACAAGCAGUUUUGGGUCUGCCUUGACCAGGCAGCCAAGACAAAGCCUAAUUACUUGCAACAACUACAGAUUUGCAGAAUUAUUAGGGUCCUAGGCUUCCUUCUCUCUUUCUCUACAGAGAGGAAACAUUUCACUAUUAGUCCUUUCUUGCAUAGUAGGAUUUCUGAACCAGGAAGCUGUUUUUAAUUUCUUACUGGUUAAUUCUUUUUGUCAUCACUGAAACACAGAAUUCAUCAAUUUGAAGUUAAGAGAUUGAUAAUGCAGCAACAGGAAUCUGACUGAUGCUAGAAAACAGCCUUUAUUUCUAUUCAGUUCAGCUUAUGCCAACCCAUAAGGCAAGUUCUACCCUCUGUCUUCCUAUAAAUGAAGCACACAUAUGUAUAAAAAAAAUAAAGGAAGGUAUCCUCCUGUCCACACACUGUAGGUCCUAAUCCUCCAGUGGAGCACCACACUAGUGCAAGGUCUCACCUAGCAGAUUCAUCAUAGGUUUGGGGCCUUCAGCUGUAACCCCCUUGGAGAAAGGAUGUGCAGAUGUCCUUCCUACACUGCUACAGCACCUCACAUGACAUGACCUCUGCUGUGACUGAGCCUCUCAGAUAUUAUUAUAAGGAGCAGAUAAUGCUUUGUCACUGCAGUAAGUGUAUGUUUAGAUAUCUCGUAUUGCUAAUGCAUGUAAUUUUAAAAUAGUCCUCAGCCUAACCUCAGGUUUUGUGACGACAAUAACAAACUGCAGGGACAACUGAUUACUAACCCAGUUUAUGGGUCAAGGAACAGGCCUUAGAUCCUCAUUUACACAGUUUCUUAUGAUCAUGUAAGCCCUCCCUCUACAAGACUAUUUUUAUUUGUUUGUUUAGAUCAGUUAAAAAAAGAAAUCCCAGAUCCCAAAAUAGAGAAUGUUUUCCUUUGGAACUGGAAGCAAACACACUUGAUGGCUUUAACAUCUGCUGGACAAUGCGUGGAUGGGUGGUGGGCACCUCACACAGUUUUGUGACAAACACAUGUGCGUACAGCGUGUCAGAUUAUAAAUCCAAGAAUAAAGAGUCAUUAAAACCUCCCUUCUCUAGCCCACCUGCCAUGAAAAUAGGCUUUUCACUCUAUCUAUUUAAACUGAAAAUGAGUAUUGGGAAGAAAAAUGCCGACAUUCCAGGGAUUCAAGUCAAAAUCUCCCCCUCCAGUAAAGGGGGUCUGUCAAUUGAACAUAGAUUGAUCCAUUGUCUGUCUCCCAUCAGGACCCACAAGCCACCUCAUGCACAUAUGCUUCUAUUCUGGCUAGAAACUGAGACCUCACAGCCUCAGACCAUCACAGUAACAUUUACAUCUGUCAUUGGCUUGAUCUGAAACUCUGCAGAAUUCUCAAAUGCCUUUUCUGCUUUUGCAGCCUAUUAGUGCCUGCUUCAAUUUUUGGGUGCAAAUUCCAGUGAGAUUAGCUUGCUACCCAGCAGAGCACAAGCUCUCUCAGCUCCACCAUGAACACAAAGCUUCCUGCUCUUGGAAGGGAGGAGAGGAGAAAGAGACACUUGCACACUGGGUCAACUCUUACCAGAAUUCACUUGAGUUCUGCGAGUGCUAAAUUUUUUCCUAUCCUUUCUUUUUUCCUGCAGUCUGCAGUGCAUUUAUCAUUGUUAGUAUAUCUGAAUUAUUAGUAGCAUUAAAUUGAAAUACAUCUCAAGAAAAAAAACAGCCAGGCUGGGCAAGACACCCAUGCCCUUGCAGAAGAGAAAAGUGUUCUGACUUACAGACGUCAGUUGGAACUCUAGAAACUGAAUUUACUAGUAUGUAAUGACAUACAAAUCACAAUGCUUCUGAUAGAUUAUUCUCACCUGUAACUGUGCUGCUUUGUCUGUUUAGACGUUGUGAGCCUUGUAACGCACUCUGAGCCUGAUAACUGCAUUAGUAAUGCCAGGAAGAAAAUAGCUUUUUAAAGCGGGUAAAGCCCACAGCACUUUUUCCCUAUUGCUUACAUUUCUUUCCAUGCACACACAUACAGAUUUUUCCAGCAUGAACCUCUGUACACGGAACCAGUGAAGCCAUCUCCUCCCUUAUUUUCUCUUGCCGCUCUGAAGUGUGAGGCCCGUUUGCUGUGUAGGUGCCCUAGCAGGUGUUUGGAUGUGCAGGUGUGUGCACAGGCAAAGUCCCGAGCACAAGCACAAACAAAGAUUCAAAUACCAGGGCCUUUCAGCCUGAACCUGACACUACCACUUUAAAACCAGAGAUGUGGACAUCAAAGUUUUCCACUCCCCAGAAGGAAUGGACUAUUUUACACCCUUCCAAAUUACGUCUCUCAUCUCUCUGCCUUUCCUACAGCCUUCUCUCUCUCUCUCACACACACACACUUUUUCUAAUACCAUCCCUCCCUCUCCACUUCAAACCAUGGGAAAAACCUAGGAAAAGAAGCUUGCCGAAUAAGGGACCGUUUCAGUGCAUUGUGUUUUCCAGCUAGACCUGAACAGACUGAAAUCAAUUCAGCUCUCUCUCACUCGCUCUUUCCCUCCCUCUCCCAUGUCUCUUUUUGUUUCUCUUAGAUCGUGCUCUCUUGCCUUAAGAAAGCCCGGUUUAGUUAUAUCCAUCCCCAUAGCAAUGAAGUGACCAGUGUUUUUUUUAUUGCUUGUAAAAACACAGUAUCUUUUUCAUGGGAGUCAGGUUCUCCUUUGGUUUGAAAUGCCCAGUGAGCAGUGGCAACAACCUGCAGAAUCUUUGAUCAAUUCUCACAUAUCCAUUUGAAGUAUCUUUAGUAGACCCAUCAAAAGAAAGGGGCUUGGUAAUUAAUAUUUUAAUAGAGUGUACCAGCCUCUCAUUGUGUUAUUGGCAAAAGGCCUGAUUUAUCAGGAGCACACAGAAAUACCUCUGUCUGAUCUGAAUUGCUAUGUGCUCUAAAAAAAUAUACAUUAUUAAAGCUGAAGUCCAGCUGUUGCUAUAUUAAAAUCCUCUGUUUUUUAUUUGCUCCUACCUUUUGGAAGGUUUCAGUUUUCAUUCUGAAAUUUUCCAGGCUUGCUCCCAAUACUGAGGUUAUAACUGCAGGGCAAGAACUAGAGGAGAAUGCAAGAAGGUUCACUGGAAACUUGAACAGGUGAGAUUCAGCACAGCAGAGCCAGCAGCCCAAAGAAGGCAGAAGUGUCACUUAAAUUUUGAUUGUACAACCUGUUGACAAAGGGACAGAAUUAAGAUGUGUGUGCAAGCUGGCUCUUAUGCCUUGCAGUCUUUGGGAUAGUUAAUUCCACAGUUAGUGUUCCCUUAACAUAAUUUUUUCUUUCCCUGAGUUGUCCAGGGUCUCAGGACCAGAUGUGAGGCUGCUGUAAACAACAGUUUUACUGUUUUAACAGAAUUAUGCUGCUUUAUAUUGAAACAGGGUAUCACCCAGAGAAAAAACAAAAAUUAUCCACCUAUCCAGAACUUUCAUAAUAAAGAAAACCCAGCAACCAAGACUAACCACAAACCAGAGAUGUCCAAAGAAAGCCAAACAUCACAAUUUGAAAAGAGUUAAAGUAAGAAAAAUAAAGGUGGUGUGAAAUUGCAGGUUAUCAGCAACACCCAUUGGACUUGAGCCCCAGUCCUUUAGGACAAUCAUAACACUCUCCCAGGCAAAUUGGACUUGCAAGGUCCAGCCAGCAGGUAAUGGCAUGCCAAGAGCUUUUUCUCAUGUAGACCCCAGUUGACCACAAAAUGAUGAGGUCUUGAUAUGCUUUAAUGGGAGCUAAAUUAAAACCAGCUUUGCAGAAACCCACUCACCACUUACCAGGCGUUCAGUCCAGUUCAGGUCAUCAGCUGGUUCCAGGGCAGUUCAUCCCCUUUGAGAACUGAAUUGUCACCUUCCGUGCUCCCUGCAGUUUCCAGCUGGAGGCUGGAACAACCAUAAACACAAGCUAUUGCACUAAAAUCUGCCUUCAAGAUUGACAAACUCAAAAUCGUUUGUCUGUCUGUCUGUCACUGCCUGCUGAGUAUCUGAAAAUCGUGCAGAACUGUUGGGUGCUCGACACUGCUGAAAACAUCACUUUAUAUAGGCACCUAACUGCCUUUUGCAGUGUCUGGUUUCUGACUCCUAAUAGUACAUGUGCUGUGACUCACCUACCUUUUACACGGUGCUUUGCUGUGGUACAAACUUUAAUACUACAAUUCCCCAUUAGUUCCCAAACAGCAGAACACAGCAUGGGCUGCAUUUCCUCUACCACCUCAAAUACGCUGGUAGUAUCAGUCCUGCAACUUAACCUACCUAAGAUUUGUAACCAGUAUCUCCUAAGUAUCCUAAUUUUUCCAGCACUCAGAAUGUGGCCUAAUUAUUUUCAGCCAGCUGCACAGCUUUUCAGAUCUGUUUUUCAGAAGGAGAGGUGAUUAAUUAUAACCCUAAUUUUAUGCAAUACAAACUUUCAGGUAAAGGACUUGAAGAGCUCAGUCUUUCAGUUCGGCAUCAAUUUCAUUUGGUUUACACAUAUCUGUAUUGUCUGUGUGUUUGUAAAUAUUCUCUGUAUUUAAUAAACAGUAUAUUGUGUAAA